CAAAAGGGUCUAUGUAAGGGGGAAGAGAAAGGUUGAUAGGGUGGGAGAGAGAUGUAGUGUUUCCUUCAAUGAGUAGGUUAGAGGGUAUGAAGGUAAAAGUAGAGAAGGAGAGAAAGAAAGGGCAUUGGGAGGAGGGAGGAGGGAGGAGAGAGGAGAGAAUAGGAUGGGAAGUGUGAAGGCUGCACAACUUCUGAUCACUCUUUAUGUUCCCUAUCUCUCUCUUCAUACUCCAUACCAUCUUCCCCUUUUUGCCCCUAUCAAUAUACAUAAAGAGGAAAGGAAGACAGAGGAGAUUUAGUUUGUUAAUUAAAACCAUAAAAAGAGGGGUUUGGUGGUGUGAAUAGAGAGAGAAUUGUAAGCACACAGUUGACUUACAUUGACCCUUUUUUAUUAUCCUUUUGAGCAGAAUUGGUAAGUUAAGUGGAUGUUUAUGGGGAAAUUACCAAAAAUAAGCCAAAAAUGGAGGAAUAAAAGAUUUAUGAGAUUGAUUUUUAAAAAGUUGAUUUCUAGGACAAAUUAUGUGUGAAUUGUCUAAAUUACCCUUAAUUCAUUUUACCUUCCAUUCCUUCUCCUCAACGCAGAAACAAAACGCAAAAAAAAAAAAAAAAAAAACACACACACACACAUUCGCUUUCUUCUCCUUCUACUUCGGUGCAUAUCAUCGCUUCUCGGAUGUCGUUCGUCGCUCCUCCGGUGUGAACUAAAAGAUCUGAACAAAGAGCCAAAGCUACACUUGUUACUUCUCUAAGGAAAAAACUAAACCCCCUAAUCUUCUUCCUCCAAACUUUCCUCUGAUUUUCGACUCAAAUAUUCAGCAAUUUGUUGCUGCUAAGAUAAUUUUGGUGGAAGAAAAGAGACGGAUCAAUGCCAAAGGGUUUGAAGAGUAAAUAUCAAUCUACUUCUCAUUAGGUUUUGAAGGAAAAAGAAAAGAAUUGUGUUAAUGACCUUGAAGGGAUAUUCACUAAUCUUCAAAAUGCAAGGAGAGUCGUACUACUGACAUUGCACGUGUCUCUGUUUUACUUUCGACUUCAACUCCGGCGGACGCUUCUCCACUUCCAUCCAUUUCGAUUUCAGGUUUCAGUAUGGCUUCGACAUCAACUAACGGUCCCAUGUACAAGAUUGACCCUGCUCAUCAUUUUCAGUCUAUAGUAAGUAGUUUAUCACAUUUAGUAAGCAGGUUGACUAUGUUGUCGGAUCAAAACAAGACUGUCAAGAUCCUUGGGUGAAUGUUGAUUACAUUUACUCUCCAUUCAAUAUCCAUGGCAAUCAUUGGAUUCUAUUAUGCUUGGACUUGGUACGUUGUCAAGUUAAGGUAUGGGAUUCGCUUCCGUCGCUGACGAGUGCCGAAGAUAUGAGAAGCAUAUUAGAGCCAAUUCAAGAGAUGGUGCCAAAUUUGCUCGAUGCUACUGGAUUCUUUGUUAGGAGAGGCGGAUCAUCAACACACAAGGAACCUUGGCCACUUGUCAUUGUCGACUCCAUUCCACUUCAACGCAACAAUAGUGAUUGUGGUGUAUUUACAAUUAAGUAUUUCGAAUAUGAAGCUUCUGGUUUAGAUGUAGCUACAUUAUGUCAAGAAAACAUGUCAUAUUUUAGAAAACAAUUGGCAUUUCAAUUAUGGACCAACAAUCCCAUGUAUUGACUUUUAGUUCCAACUUUUGAAGGAAUUGUAUAUGUUCCAAACUAUGUACAUAAAUAGUUUUAUAUAAUGGAAUGAAUACCAUUUUUGUU